CCUACGGGGGGCUGCAGUGGGGAAUAUUGGACAAUGGGGGCAACCCUGAUCCAGCCAUGCCGCGUGUGUGAAGAAGGCCCUCGGGUUGUAAAGCACUUUCAGUGAGGAAGAACGCCUGGUGGUUAAUACCCAUCAGGAAAGACAUCACUCACAGAAGAAGCACCGGCUAACUCCGUGCCAGCAGCCGCGGUAAUACGGAGGGUGCGAGCGUUAAUCGGAAUUACUGGGCGUAAAGCGCGCGUAGGUGGCUUGAUAAGCCGGUUGUGAAAGCCCCGGGCUCAACCUGGGAACGGCAUCCGGAACUGUCAAGCUAGAGUGCAGGAGAGGAAGGUAGAAUUCCCGGUGUAGCGGUGAAAUGCGUAGAGAUCGGGAGGAAUACCAGUGGCGAAGGCGGCCUUCUGGACUGACACUGACACUGAGGUGCGAAAGCGUGGGUAGCAAACAGGAUUAGAUACCCGGGUAGUC
rnacentral:rRNA from 1 species